GACGGACGAUGCAAGCGUUAUCCGGAAUGAUUGGGCGUAAAGCGUCCGCAGGUGGCAGUUCAAGUCUGCUGUCAAAGACCGGGGCUUAACUUCGGAAAGGCAGUGGAAACUGAACAGCUAGAGUAUGGUAGGGGCAGAGGGAAUUCCUGGUGUAGCGGUGAAAUGCGUAGAGAUCAGGAAGAACAUCGGUGGCGAAGGCGCUCUGCUGGACCAUAACUGACACUCAGGGACGAAAGCUAGGGGAGCGAAUGGG
rnacentral:rRNA from 1 species